rnacentral:lncRNA from 1 species
GUUGAAACUUUUGGCUUUCGGGGGGAAGCUCUGAGCUCACUUUGUGCACUGAGCGAUGUCACCAUUUCUACCUGCCACGUAUCGGCGAAGGUUGGGACUCGACUGGUGUUUGAUCACGAUGGGAAAAUCAUCCAGAAAACCCCCUACCCCCACCCCAGAGGGAUGACAGUCAGCGUGAAGCAGUUAUUUUCUACGCUACCUCUGCACCAUAAAGAAUUUCAAAGGA